rnacentral:rRNA from 1 species
UACGAAGGGGGCUAGCGUUGUUCGGAAUUACUGGGCGUAAAGCGAGUGUAGGUGGUUGUCAUAGUCAGGUGUGAAAGCCUUGAGCUUAACUCAAGAAAUGCACUUGAUACUGGGCGACUAGAGGACCGGAGAGGAUAGUGGAAUUCCCAGUGUAGUGGUGAAAUACGUAGAGAUUGGGAAGAACACCAGUGGCGAAGGCGGCUAUCUGGACGGUUUCUGACACUAAGACUCGAAAGCGUGGGGAGCAAACAGG